GUCGGGAUGGUGGAAUUGGUAGACACGAGGGACUUAAACUCCCUUGAUCAAUUAUGAUCGUGCGGGUUCAAUUCCCGCUCCCGGCACCA
rnacentral:tRNA from 1 species